rnacentral:rRNA from 1 species
CACUCAACAUGAGAGUUUGAUUCUGGCUCAGAACGAACGCUGGCGGCAGGCUUAACACAUGCAAGUCGAACGCACCCUUCGGGGUGAGUGGCAGACGGGUGAGUAACGCGUGGGAACGUGCCCUUUGCUACGGAAUAAUCCCGGGAAACUGGGUUUAAUCCCGUAUGUGCCCUACGGGGGA